UUUUAGUUCGCUCACGCGCUCUGUACUUAUAUCUAUUACAUUUCCACCAUAAGCAGCGGCCGUGCAGUGACUUACAAAAGUUCCGAACGGUUCCAUCCUGGGCGGACGGUUAAUUGCGUUCGGUACUUCGAGGCAGGAAGUUUUUGCCAGAGUUGACCUGACGUGCUACUUCAGUUUCCAUCUUCGCUUCUCGAAAUUUCCAACGUCCUUGGUGUUGGAGUCUCCUUGCCCAGGUGAGUACAUAGCUUCUAGAUACUCGUCACUGUUCAUCCUUACGAGCCUCUCGAGCUUUAGUUGUCAAUUGUUAUCGUUAAAUGAAGAGAAGCUCGCGACAGAUGUUAUCGAACAAAUCGUUUAUUCUCGAAAAGUUCGAACUUGUUCGUUGCGUUUGAAUAUAUAUGGACGGACGCCAUUUUUCAUGACAUCAUCAUGAUUUGUCAUGUCGUGAGUAUAGCUUCUGACUACCAUAUGUUUGUGAUUUAUGUGAAAUUUGACCACUAUACCGUGAUAGAAAAAUAUUUCCAAUGAAUUAUAAAUAUUUUACAUUGUGAAUUAUAAAUAUUUGUUACAAAUUAUAUCGUACUUGAGGUGAAAAUGAACCAUAUAUCUGCUUAUGGAAUAUGAGGUAGUAAAUCAUUCGAAACAUAAUAACGAUUAAUUAAGCACAUAUACAAUAACGUUUACGAAUGAAUAUUGCGAAUUAUUGUAUGGCUUUAACGCGGUAUUUAAUGUUUUGAUUGCGGUCUUUGAAAUGGUAUCAUAGGUGCUGAUAUAAUAUCGCGCGAAAAAGGAAAGACCAGUGGUUAAUAUUGCAGGUGCACCAGUGCGUUGCGCUCGUCGAGGGUGGUUCUGACGCUGGUGCCGAGGAAAGGCGCAGAACGUGUUCGAUCGACCCGCGAACGUAGCCUGUGCUCAUACUGCGACAGAGUUCGUUUCAGUUAGGCUCAGUCACUGUCCGUUGACAGCGUAUAGUCGCGUCGGCCUACGAUUCCUUUUUUCUUCUUGUUUCUUGCGAACUCUCUCGCAACAGCCGUUCUAUACGUACGCCGCCAGUAUAUCGCGUGAUCAUCGUUCCCGUUGCUUCCCUUACCCUCUCACGUCCUUCGAAGAAGACCUCCCUUUGGUUUUUCCUUGUUUGGAGGGAAUUCAUCGCUCGGACACAUGGACUGCGAAGCACGAGGGUUGAUCGAGGCAUCAGCGUGAUGUACUUUUCAGGUUUCAUAUUUUCUCUAUGAUACUUUCUAAGGAGAAUUUGGAAGAUAUACAUUUUUAGGAAAUAAAGGUUUUUAUGGAGUCAUCGAUAGGUUAGAAUUUAAUUAACUCUCUUAUAACAGGUAUUCCAAUUUUUUAAUAUAUAAAUUUAGUUUCCUCUAUGGUGUUAGAGAACAUAAUGCGGGCAUUUUAUGAUAUAACGAAUAUAUUCGUAUAUAUUUUAGAUUAUUCAUUCGUCAAAUUUCCCUAGUAGGCCGGCCUGCAGCUCGCAUGCAGCACUUAGUAAAAAUUUGUUUUGUUAGAGGUUGGCCAUUCUUCUUGCUACAAAAAUAUCGUGAAGUCAUAUCAUAUGAUAAAGCACCUUCUGAAAGCUAGAUGCUCGAUAACGAGCCUAAUGAUUCUCGGUAGUUUGUAAUGUCAAGCUUUGAAUUGGCGAGAUCGCUCUGCUGGCAAACCGCCGUCCAGCGGCGACCACAUUCUUUAACCACGUUCAAGG